GGGUGAUUAGCUCAGCUGGGAGGGGCGCUUCCUUACAAGGAGGGGGUCGGCGGUUCGAUCCCGUCAUCACCCACCA
rnacentral:tRNA from 1 species